UCUCCGAAGGCCCUGCGCCGGUGCCGUAGCCAAUGACAGGCCACGUUGUGUCCCAGCAGCCAAUCGGAAGGGCCUGAGCCUGAAGACGUGCAUUUGACCGCUCCUCCCUCCGCGUUGGAGGCGGAAUAGUGGGUUUUGCUGCAACCGGUUUAUUUUCCUUCUGUUUUCACCCAUUCGGGCACAAUCUGGCGCCAUCGUCCUUCUUGUGAGGCCAAGCCUGAAAAUGCGAAGCAGAGAGGCAGGACCAAAAUUGAGGCGAAUCCGGGAACCUGCCAAUGGGUCUCCGGGUGCGGUCUCUGAAACUGGAGGAUAUCGGGAGGAAAGGCUCUCCGAUGCGGAGAUAAUGGGGAAGCUCUUGGCAUGGUUGGCUGUAGGUAUGUGAUACCGGAGGAGCAGGAGUCAAAUAGGAUACGCCGACUUUUAAUUCAAGGAACCCUUUUCUGAAACACUUUGCCACAAUGAAGGAAAUAAGAUUACAGCCGAAGAUACAUAUUAAGGAAUUGUACUCUCAGAGAUGUUGAGAAAAGAUACAUGGGUCUUGGAAGAUAAUUACUCAAAAUAUGCAGGGAAGGAAUAAAAUUGAAGGGUGUUUUUCUUAGAGAACAUCAUUUGUCAUAUUUAUUUGAUCAAGAAGUUGAAGAUUUAUGUAAUAAGGAUCUAGUUUGAAGCACUAAGAAGAAUAAGACAUCAGUUUGAAAAGAGGCUCUAUCAGAAUAACACGAAUUCUGCUAAAAUUGAAGCAAGAACAAACAUCAAAUAUAUGUUGACACUUGGGUGGAAGAAUGGUGAACUAAUUGAUGCUUUAUGAAAAGUCGAUAGGGACAAUGCUCCAAAGAAAUCAGUUUACAAAUGGAUAACUCGUUUUAAGAAGGCAUAAGGUAAUGUUGAAGAAGAAGCCCACAGUGGCAGAUCAUCCACAUCAGUUUGUGAGAAAAAAGUUAGUUCAUGGCGUAAUUGAAGAAAACCAACAAUUAACAGCAGAAACAACAGCCAACACCAUAGACAUCUCAGUUGGUUCACCUUACACAAUUUUGACUGGAAAAGUUCAGCAAACUUUAUACCUGAUAGGUACCAAAACCAUUGCACCCAGAUCAGCUACAGACAAGAAUAGAGCUUUCAAUGGAAAUUUUAAAUAAGUGGGAUCAGGAUCUUGAAGCCUUUCAUUGAAAAAUUGUAACAGGAGAUGAAACAUGGCUUUACCAGCGCAAUCCUGAAGACAAAACACAAAGCAGUGGUUACCAAGAUAAGUAGUUCAGUUAAAGCACAAGAGGACUGGUUGAGAGCAAAGGUCAUGACAACAGCUUUUGAAUGCUCAAGGCAUUUUGCUUGUUGACUUUCUGUAGGGCCAAAGAAUGGUAACGUGCUUAUCAUGGGAGUGUUUUGAGAAACUUAGUCAAAGCUUCAGCAGAAAAAUCCCCGAGAAAGACCAGAGAGUUCUUCACCACAACAAUGUUCCUGCUAAUCCCUCUCAUCAAACAAGGGCAUUUUGCAAGAGUUUUGAUGGGAAAUCACUAGGCAUCCACCCUACAGUCCUGGUUUGGCACCUUCUGACUUUUUGUUUCCUAAUCUUAAAAAAAUUUUUAAGGGCAGUACAUUUUUCUCAAGUUAAUGUAUAAAGAAACUGCAUUGAUGUAGAUAAAUUCCCAGAACUCUCAGUUCUUUAGGGAUGGACUAAAUAGCUGGUAUCAUCACUUACAAAAGUGUCUUGAAUGCUAUAGAGCUAAUGUUCAGAAAUAUAGUUUAUAUUUUUUAUCUUUUAACCAUUUUUCCACAAACUUUUUGAAGUCUCCUUGAAUAUGUACCAUUUAUAAAGGGGAAAAAUUCUGUGACUACUCAUGUUGACUUAAUGCUGACUUAAUUUUCUGUUUUGUAAAUAUAUACAAACAAGUUGAUACAAAUUUUGUUUAUAGCCCUUAAACAAAUUUGUGAAAUAAAUGCAUUCAGAAACAAACUAAAA